GACGAACGCUGGCGGCGUGCCUAAUACAUGCAAGUAGAACGCUGAAGGAGGAGCUUGCUCUUCUGGAUGAGUUGCGAACGGGUGAGUAACGCGUAGGUAACCUGCCUGGUAGCGGGGGAUAACUAUUGGAAACGAUAGCUAAUACCGCAUAACAGUAGAUGUUGCAUGACAUUUACUUAAAAGGUGCAAUUGCAUCACUACCAGAUGGACCUGCGUUGUAUUAGCUAGUUGGUGGGGUAACGGCUCACCAAGGCGACGAUACAUAGCCGACCUGAGAGGGUGAUCGGCCACACUGGGACUGAGACACGGCCCAGACUCCUACGGGAGGCAGCAGUAGGGAAUCUUCGGCAAUGGACGGAAGUCUGACCGAGCAACGCCGCGUGAGUGAAGAAGGUUGUCGGAUCGGAAAGAUCUGUUGUAAGAGAAGAACGAGUGUGAGAGUGGAAAGUUCACACUGUGACGGUAUCUUACCAGAAAGGGACGGCUAACUACGUG
rnacentral:rRNA from 1 species